ensembl:snoRNA
UGGGUAAAUGAUGACGGCUCGUGGUGUGAGUCUUGGGUGAUGAGCCCCACAGGUCUGGGGUUCUGAGGUCCAG